GACUCUGUAGCUCAGUGGUAGAGCGUACGAUUGCAAAUCGUGAUGUCCCGUGUUCGAACCACGGCAGGGUCU
rnacentral:tRNA from 1 species